CCCCCGCUAAUUUGGAACUCAGGGCUCUCAAUCUCCAUCUGCUGUGUUGGUGACAAUUGAGAGUCCCUGCUUAAGCUUGAAUAAACGACCCUCAUGUGCUUACAUCGGAAAUGGCCUCCUGGUGGUCUUUGGGACCUUGCAAUCUGGGCACAACACCAGCCACAGUAAGAUACUACUUUACUCCAACUAGAAGAGCUAUUGCCAAGAAGACAAUAGUAAAUGCUGAUCAAGAUAUAGAGAAAAGGGCAGCCUUCUAUGCUGUUGUUAGAAAUGUAAACUAGUACAACCACUGAGGAGAACAGAUUGAGGUUCCUCAAAAAAUUAAAAGUAGAGUUACCUUAUGACCCAGCGAUCCCACUACUGAGUAUAUAUCUGUGGAGAACACUUUGAAAUAAGAUGGAAUUGUAUAACCCUAAGUGUGCUGUAACCCUAAGUGUGCUGUAACCCUAAAGUGUGCUGUGACUUUAAGAGCGCUGUAACCUAAGUAUGACAUAAUCAUAAGAGUGAUGAAAGUAGAAUCUUAAGUGGUAUGGAACUGAUAAGGGUGUGCCCUGAACUGGACAAGGAGUACCCCGAACUGGACAGGGUGCGCCCUGAAAUGGACAGUGUGAUAAGUCUGAACCAAUACCACAAGCGCCCAGUUAGAAUAGUAUAAAAGGAGCUGAAGACCCCAAGCAAGUCGACGAUCCAUCCACCGACCAGUCGACCAGUCAAUCUGCUGAUCUGAUUACCAACCGAGACAUCUGCACACCUGAUCCCACUGGAAGGAGCGUCUCCGCCGACCAGACGGGACCAGAGGAUGAGGCAAGCAGAGAGACGGAUAGCCUAACUCCGACUCGACGCCCUUCUUCUACGGAUCGGACCCUCUGACCCUACGGGAGGAAACGUCGCGCUCCCAUAAGGACUUGCGCAGUACAGGUACAGGGACGUGGUAAUUGGCAGACUUAAUAUUGUGUGGUAAUUGUAUUGAAGUGAAUUAUGAUAAGUGUGUGAACUGCCGUCCGUGUCCGAGUCCUCUUUACCCACGGUACCUGCUCACGACAAUAGCCAAAGGGAAUGAAAUCAGUAUGUAGAAAAGGCAUUUUCCCUCCAUGUUUAUUGUACCACCAUUUGCAAGAGCCACAAAGUGGAAACAACUGCAGAGUCCAACAGAUAAUGCAUAAGAAAAAGUGGUAUCACGAUGGUAUGUGAUUCAGCUAUAAAGCAUUAAAUUCUGCCAUUUAUGACAACGUGGAUGGAGUGGGAGAUCAUUUUGCUAAGCCAAGCACAGGUAGAAAAGUACUAUGUGAUCUUAUUCAUAUGUGGAAGCUAAAAAUGCUGACCUCACAGGAACAUAGGGAAAUGGCUAGAGGCAGCCAAGAGUGGAGGAGGGAGGAGUGGCAAAGGCUGGCCCACAAGAACUGAGGGACAGUUGUACAAAAGUAAGAGCUCUGCUAUGCCACUGCACAGAAGAGUUACUAUGGGUAAGCAUAUUUCAUUGAAUAUUUCAAAAUAGUUAAGAGGGAAGAUUUCGAAUGUUUCCACAACAAAGAAAUGAAAAUGUUUUAGGUGAUGAGUAUUCUAAGUACAAUGGUUUGAUUAUUACACAAUCUGUAAAUGAUUUAAAACAUCACACAAUGCCUUGUAAAUAUGUGUGAUACUAUGUGCCAAUUACAAAUAAAAUGAAAAAAAUUACUGGAAAUAACAUGAAGUUUUAAUCCAAAAACCCAUAUUCAGUUCCUAGAUUCACUGAAGGAAGAACUAACAUAUUUAAAGCAAAAAUUCUAAAUCCUUAUUUUAUUCAUAUUUAAUAAUUUUCCUUGUAGAGAAAUAAGUAAAAGUGUAUUAAUAUAAUAAUUACUAUGGAAAUAUAUUUAUAAACUUGGUUAAAUGACUAUAUUUUCUCUCAAGUUACAAAAAAAAUAUGUGACCAAAAUUUAUGUGAUUUUACAUAUGGUAUUCAUAUUAAAACCCAUUAUAUUAAUCCCACGAGACAAAAAAAGAUGAAAUACAAUCAGGUACACAGAAAAAAUUAUGUACAUACAGUAAUUUCAGUAGGGCUACAUAUUUCUACUAUUUAUUUAGAAAUUAGAGUAUUGAUCAUAUAUUUUAUAACUAUCUUUGACACAAAAUAUAUUGAGAGAAAUUUUUUUGCAAUGGAAGAUGAAACUAAGAAUAAAAUGAAUUUCAAUUGGAAAUACUACCUCAAAGAUUCACAUGGUAGGGAUAUUUUUCUGGAUCUGAUUGGAACUCUAAAGAACAUUAGUUUUAUUCCAAUCAUAUACUAAAGUUAAUUAUAGCAUAUCAACCAUGAUUGUAAGCUUCAUUUAUUCAGUAAGCAAGGCUUUAUUAAACUCCUGUAAUGUGACAUGUAUUACACCAGAUAUUAGAAAUCAGACUAUACUAUACUAUAUAUUCAUGUACUCUGUAGCAGGGCAGUGAUAUCAGUCCUAUGUACAUAGGGUUAAGUUAGUGUAUGCUGGGCACUACCUCAAGGGCUUCUUAUAUAAUGUUUAAUUAUAUUUUGUAAAAAGUGAAUGAUACUCAGUUUACUCUUUUAAUAGGGGGAUUGAAUCAACUAAUGUAAUUUAAUUUGUUUUGGGGUUUUUUUUUGUUUUUUUUGGUACCAGGGAUCGAACUUGGGACUUUGUGCUUGCAAAGGAGGCAGCAGAACCACUGAGCUAAAUCCCCAGCCCAACUAAUGUAAUUUAAUAAAGCUUUCAGUGAAGCUCUAGGGAUUAUAUAAAUAUACAAUUUUUAUAUAUUUAUAUAAAUACACACUGUUUCAUGAUUCUUUGGAUGCAUACAGUAGAAAAUAAUUCAAACUAAAAAAAGAAUAACAUACUUUAAUAAGGAGAUUGCUGUGUCUCUUAGAAACCUAAAAGCAAAAAUGCCAAGGGACCUCAGGAAGUUUGCAGAUGAUGACACCAGAGUCAGCCUCUGUCUCCUGUUACUGCUGCUUACAGGGGAUAUGGGGCAUCCAGUGCUGGCUCUUUUCACACACUCUUCCUCUCUCAAUAUUCUCUGAUCCACUCUGCUCAAAAUGGAAAGAUGAUGGUUAUUCCUCAUUUAUCAAAUUAUUGUCUCUUCUCAGUAAUCCUUUUUGAGUCAAGUGACCAACACUGGCCCACUUGAUCAUGUCUAGAAACAGAUACCUAUGAUAUAAACAUGGGUGGUGGUGGCCUUAUCUGUGGCUAAAAUGUAAAGAAAUGUGAGUUGUGAACUAAAUGAGUAGUUUAUGAAUGGGCUUUUAAUGAAUGAUUUAAAGGUGAGAGACACUACAAUAUUCUUACUUAAAAGACCUUAUCACUUCUUAUUCCCAAAAUACAAUUGGAAAAAAUAGAAGUAAGCUCAUAAAACGAGAAAAGCUCAAACAAUUUAUACUGUCAGGAGCAAUGCUACAUAAUUUUAAGGUAAAAUCAUUUGGUUAGCUUAAUUCUCCUGCCUACAGCCCAGCUAUGGAAUACUGAGACAUAAUUCCAUUUUGGCCUCUGGUCACAACUGAGACCUCAAUGAUCCGAGUGAUGCUGUGAUUCUCCAGGACAAGAUUACACCAGACCAGAAAGUGCUAUGUCUGUUUGGAGAGCUCUUGUUAUUUGAAGUUUUCUUGUUUCUGAGGUAAAAUCUCCCCCUUCUAGUUCAUUCAUCCACUUGUUCUCACCCAUGUUUCUUUAAACUCAGGUGUAGCCACCAACACCCAAGUGUGCCUCACAGACUCCUGAGUUCCAGGAUAUGGUGGAGCCAGUCAAGGUUCAAAACCCACCUGCAGACAGAUUUCGGAGAAGACAAGAAAUGCAUAAUCUCCUUAUUUGGAGCAUAGUGGUUUGGAGAAAAGAAUUUAUAGCUUCUUAUUUUUGCCUUCUGGGAGGAAAUACUAUUUACAGAAAAUGUUUAUUGUUCCAGUGUGUGACUGUGGGUGCACAGACCAUGAAAACAUUAUUUAGAGAUGAGACUUAGUUCAAACACCAAGCACCUAGAGAGGCUAAUCCUUCAGCAUAAAACAGCCUCAGGGAAACAGCCUCAGGGAAACAGCCUCAGGGAAACAGCUGAGCUGAGCUGAGACCUCUGCAGUUAUUUAUUUGUAUCUCAAAGACAGGAGAACAAAGAUGUAAAAAAAACAUUUGCAACAUAUUGUAUCAUUUUGGUUAGGGCCAGAAUGGGGUGGUUUGUUACAUAAUACAUGUUGACCUAGUUUAAGCAAUCUUAUUGGGGCAGAGGGGACAGAAUGGCCAAAGCAAACAUCUAUGAGAGCAAGCUACUUUUAAGUCUGUUGACUGUUGACCUGUUCAGAUUCUGUUCUAAACUAUUACUAUGCUUUCCAGGGCCAUGGGAACUAUUGUUCCAAGUCCUCUUCAUCUUUAUGUAUGCACUUUAAUCACUCCUUUGGCCAGGGUCUUCUCACAGUUUAUAUCCCACAUUGAUCUUCUCUUUCCCAUAUUAUCCACCAUCCAUGCUCGAAUUGUCCUUCCUGGAAUACAAUGCCACUGUUUUUUUUGCAUUCUUUCAAGUGUUCUAAAAUGUGUUCAUGUGCCCUUAAAUUUAGUCAUUUGCCCUGCACAAAGUGUGAUUCUAUUAGUGUCCUUAGUUUGGAUACUAUGUAGCCUCAAGCUAUCCAUAUAAAUAUUUAUGCUGCAUAUUAUCUUCAUGGCAGGAGAAAACUUAUUCCUCACUAUCAUGUUUUCAACAUAAACCACUGCUCCAUUCUGUCAACUUUCUCAGUUACUCCUUGUUCAUUUGAGAAACUCAUAGCACCUAAAUUCUAUAUUAUAUGAAUUACACAUUAAAACUUUUUAGUUUAGGCUCUUUACUGUCCUAGCCUUUCAUCUGUACUGGGAUAUAGGAGCACCUAUCUGUCUGGUAAAAGGGCGGAAGACCAAGACCAGACCAGGCCACAACAAGCCUUUAUUAGGGGAAUAGAUCUGCCGGGGUGUCUCUGAACAAAGGAGAGACAAAAGCAAUAUGGCUGGGGCAGGGAGAGUCUUUUGUAGAGACUGGG
ensembl:lncRNA